CUGCUUCGGGCACCUUUGGCGGCGAGGAGCUAGAUUCAGGCGUGACAGAGCGACACAAAGCAGCAGCAGAAGGAAGUGAGCGGAAAAGAAAGAAGAAAAGAGCAGCCAAAGCAUCUUAGAAACAAAAGGCAAAUACCAACGACGUGAGUCACCCGGAAAGCAGAUCCGCCCCCCUAAACCAGAUGUGGCGCCCUGUGUCAGCGGAGACACUUAGACGGCGAGAGCCCACGGGAAGAGAUGGUCUGCAGAAACAACCGCAAAACCGGCCCAGACAAAAGCUGCAGGAGCUGGGGUUUACAGUGAUUUGUGCAAAAAAGCCAGUUCAUUAAUCUGCGUUUGCAGUACCUUCACCUAAAUCCCUUUUUCUUAUUUUUAAAAAUCUUUUGCACCAUAAAUGUGAAACACUGAGAAAAGAAUUUGAAUAACCAGUAAUGUUUUUUUAUCCCAGUUGUGAUGACUCUAUGAAUCUAUAUGCAUGUUAAAACUCAUAGGACGUUGUACACCAAAGACUCAGUUCUACUACAUGAAAAUUCUAAAAUUUAAUUAUUCAUAGAAAAAACUUUAGUGAUACUCUGACAUGGUAACAAAUCUGAUUCUAUCUCAAGAACAACUGCUGUAGCAGGAGGAUGAGAUUCAUUUUAGUAUUUAGAAAAAUGGUACACAUUCUCAUCUGAUAUUAUUGUAUGGAUGGAUAUUCUCAUCCAUAUUAUUGUAUUGUGGUUUUAGUUAUUAUUCUGCUCUACAAAUGAAAAACACCAGAACUUUGAGCUUAUCAUAACUAAUGCUGACUUACACUGUUCUACUUGGUAAAUGCUGUGCUGAUCGCUUUAUAGAAAUUAGCUCACUUACUCUUCACAUCAGUGCUCAGGUUCUCUCACUCCAGUUUUACAGAUGAGAAAGUUGGCGCAAAAAGAAAUUAUAUAACUUGUUCGAAUGAAUGAAGAAUGAUAGAGGUGGGAAUUAGACCCAGAUCUGCCUGCCUCUCACAUAUAUUUUCUGUGUCCUAUCUCGGAAAGGUUAAGGGGCUUGUGCAAAGUCCUGUUCUUCUGUUAGGUAGAACAUAAAUCGCACUCCUGGUUCUCUUCAGACUUCUUAAACACACACACACACACACACACACACACACACACUCCUACAGCUAGCAAUGGAUUAUGAUACCUGAAUAGGGACCAAGAAAGGUCCUUUCUGGUUCCAACAUUUAUUUGCUGUGUGUCUUCUGUACACUUCCAUUUCUUAAUUUUUAUCAUUGCCAUGGGAAUUAAUGUAGUAUAGGUAACACCUUCGGCCAAAUCACCUGCUAAUAUUGUUCUUUCCUUAAUUACUCUCUUUUGUGUCAUUUAUCAUGACCCACUUUAUCUGUGACUGUGUUAGUGAUAGAAGUUCAAGGAUUGAUAAUUAAAAGACCUUAGAGUUUCCAGAUCUAGCAAAUAAAAAUACAGGAUACCAGUUAAAUAUUAAUUGCAGAUAAACAAGGAAUAAUACUUGGUAUAAAUAUGUUCCAUGUAAUAUUUGCGAUAUUCUUUCAGAAAAAGAUUGGUUGUUUACAGUUGCAAGUCAAAUUUAAUUGGAUAUUCUGCACUUGUUCUGACAACAAAGUAUCUCAUAAUCUGGUUAAAGUAACUGAUAACAGAAGCAUAAGCUCUCGGGUGCUGAAUUAAGGGCAGUUUGGUGUAUCUUUCUAUCCCACCUGUUUUGUAUAUAUUUUCUGUUUCUGCUAUUUUUAUAUGAAUGGGAUAAUUAUGUAUUAUUCAUAAUCUUUUUUAAAACAACCACAUACAUUUCUGUGUCUGCACGUAUAGGUAUACUUUCUGCUCUAAAAUAAAAUAUUCCAUAUUGUGGA